rnacentral:rRNA from 1 species
UACAGAGGGUGCAAGCGUUGUUCGGAAUUAUUGGGCGUAAAGCGAGUGUAGGCGGUUUGGUAAGUCGGAUGUGAAAGCCCCGGGCUCAACCCGGGAAGUGCACUCGAUACUGCCAAGCUAGAGUAUCGGAGAGGUUGGUGGAAUUCUCGGUGUAGAGGUGAAAUUCGUAGAUAUCGAGAGGAACACCGGUGGCGAAGGCGGCCAACUGGACGAAUACUGACGCUGAGACUCGAAAGCGUGGGGAGCAAACAGG